AAUACAUAAGGUAUUUUAGACCAAGAAGUUCAUUCAUCAAAAACAGAUUGGGAGGAAAACGCUAGCAAGUGAGGGAAGUAUGGCUGGGAGAGGGUAGGUACUUCUUGCUACCGAAAAUAAGAUGUAGGAUAAACCUUCCUCCCUUUGGAUUUAGUUUUAUGCCACAUGAAUGCACGGGCUACACACCUUCAAUAAGCAACUGAAAGAGAGGCUCCCAAUGAGCCCUUAUCAACCCUGAGAGGUAGGGUCACUGAUAUUUAGAGGACCCCAUAUUAGAAAGCACCUAGGCAAAGACCUGGCCAUCGCAUCCCCCAGGCCACAGGUAACCAGAUACAGGUAACUAACCUGAGCCACAGAAGAGCACCCUGAGGACACCUGAUUAGUAAUAUUUUUUGGCAACUGUGU
rnacentral:lncRNA from 1 species